rnacentral:rRNA from 1 species
AUGCUCUAUAACAGAAGAACCCUAAAAGAAAUAACUGAAAUUACAUAUGAAUAUGAAAAACAGGAAAAGUUCUAUACUGCAGAAGCAAUGAUUAAGUCAAUUGAUACAUCAGAUGAGUGGUACUACAUGGAAUGCCGCAAAUGCAACAAAAAAGUACAAAAACAAGGGAACCACUUCUACUGUCCAAAAUGUGUAAAAGAACCUGAGAAGACAUGUCCAAGGUACAAACUUAAGCUAGAGAUAUGUGAUCUGAGUGCAACAACAACUUGCACCAUGUUUGAGGCAGAAGCAAAAAAAUUGAUUAAGCAAUCUGCAAGGUUUUUGAUAGAUAGGGACGAUUGCGAUAUUCAUGAGCAGACAAAACAAAUCCAGAAAAUAUGUGGGCAGAGAUUGAUUUUUCAAUUCAAAUUGAAUGACUACAAUUUGAAGUACGGUUAUCAAGAAUACACUGUUUGUAGAAUCUUUUUCAUAGAUUCUGAAAAAGAUCCAUCAGUACAUCAUUCAAAUGUUGAGCAGGAGCAACCAGACAAGCUGUCAGUUAUGAAAACUAUAAAGCAAGAACCGGAGGAUGAUGAACCCACUAGUAACCGGACUAAAAGGGGUAGGAUGAGCAGCAGAGGUCGUGUUUUUCACCUUGAUGGAGAGCCAAAAACUAAAGGUAGUCAAGAAAUAAUCAAAUCAAAAUAUAUGGAAGCAGGCCCCAAGAGAAAGCGCGCCGUAACUCGCAAAUGUGCUGGUAUUGAUACCAAACAAGUAAACAAUCACCAUGAAGAAGAAUCAGAACAGGAAGGUACUCAGCAGCACAAUAAUUCAAGGCCUAGGACAAGGCGUAGUUGUGUUGCUAAAGAACUGAUGGACAAAGGCAUUCAGAAGUGUGGUGUAUCAAGAACUCGAAAGACAUAG